AAUAGAUACCCGGGUAGUCCACGCCGUAAACGAUGGAUGCUAGCUGUUAUGAGUAUCGACCCUUGUAGUAGCGAAGCUAACGCGUUAAGCAUCCCGCCUGUGGAGUACGAGCGCAAGCUUAAAACAUAAAGGAAUUGACGGGGACCCGCACAAGCGGUGGAGCGUGUUGUUUAAUUCGAUGAUAAGCGAAGAACCUUACCAAGGCUUGACAUCCCUGGAAUUUCUCCGAAAGGAGAGAGUGCCUUCGGGAAUCAGGUGACAGGUGAUGCAUGGCCGUCGUCAGCUCGUGUCGUGAGAUGUUUGGUUAAGUCCAUCAACGAGCGCAACCCUUGUAAAUAGUUGAAUUUUUCUAUUUAGACUGCCUCGGUAACGGGGAGGAAGGAGGGGAUGAUGUCAGGUCAGUAUUUCCCUUACGCCUUGGGCUACAAACACGCUACAAUGGCCGGUACAAAGGGCAGCCAACCCGCGAGGGGGAGCAAAUCCCAUCAAAACCGGUCUCAGUUCGGAUAGCAGGCUGAAAUUCGCCUGCUUGAAGCCGGAAUCGCU
rnacentral:rRNA from 1 species